rnacentral:rRNA from 1 species
GUGUCAGCCGCCGCGGUAAUACGUAGGUGGCGAGCGUUGUCCGGAAUUACUGGGCGUAAAGGGUGCGUAGGCGGGAUCUUAAGUCAGAUGUGAAAUUCCGGAGCUUAACUUCGGAACUGCAUUUGAAACUGGGAUUCUGGAGUGCAGGAGAGGAAAGCGGAAUUCCUAGUGUAGCGGUGAAAUGCGUAGAUAUUAGGAAGAACACCAGUGGCGAAGGCGGCUUUCUGGACUGUAACUGACGCUGAUGCACGAAAGCGUGGGGAGCAAACAGGAUUAGAUACCCUGGUAGUCCACGCUGUAAACGAUGAGUGCUAGGUGUAGGGGGUGUCAUGCCUUCUGUGCCGGAGCAAACGCAAUAAGCACUCCGCCUGGGGAGUACGGUCGCAAGACUAAAACUCAAAGGAAUUGGCGG